rnacentral:lncRNA from 1 species
GUGGGAGUGCGAGUGGCUGUGCAGCGGCGGAAGUUAUCUCUGCAGGGAAGAUGGAAAAGGAGCAGCAGUAUGGCUGCGUAGCCAAGACUUGGCCCUGAAUGCUACGGGACUGGAGGAACCACAGGAGCGCUGCCUCUGAUAGGCAGUGUGUCCCUAGACUUCACACAGCCAGAGCCUAGCCUUACACCUGUCAGCACCCAUGUCAAGUUCACCCCAAGCCCUGGCUGCUUGUGUCCUGUGACCACCUACCCUCUGCACCUGCCUUUGCAUCUUGUGAACAUUUCUGAGUGAGGAGCGUGUGGCUGGCUCCGUGUCACUCAGAGGUUUUGAGUCAUCCUUUUCUUGGCUGUGUAAUAUUCUUCCUAUAGGUGACCAGACUGGGCUUGCCCAUUGUCCCCUCACUAUCCUCCUGUCACAGCCACCAGAGUCCUGGAAUCACAGCUGGUGGAGCUGAAGAAUGGGGAGACCUACAACGGGCACCUGGUGAGCUGCGACAACUGGAUGAACAUCAACCUUCGAGAAGUGAUCUGCACAUCGAGGGACGGUGACAAGUUCUGGAGGAUGCCCGAGUGCUACAUCCGAGGCAGCACCAUCAAGUACCUGCGUAUCCCGGAUGAGAUC